rnacentral:rRNA from 1 species
AUUGAACGCUGGCGGAAUGCUUUACACAUGCAAGUCGAACGAUGAACCUUAGCUUGCUAGGGGGAUUAGUGGCGAACGGGUGAGUAAUAUAUCGGAACGUACCUUGUAAUGGGGGAUAACUAGUCGAAAGAUUAGCUAAUACCGCAUACGCCCUGAGGGGGAAAGUAGGGGAUCUUCGGACCUUACGUUAUAAGAGCGGCCGAUAUCUGAUUAGCUAGUUGGUGGGGUAAUGGCCUACCAAGGCGACGAUCAGUAGCUGGUCUGAGAGGACGACCAGCCACACUGGAACUGAGACACGGUCCAGACUCCUACGGGAGGCAGCAGUGGGGGAAUUUUGGACAAUGGGCGCAAGCCUGAUCCAGCAAUGCCGCGUGCAGGAUGAAGGCCU